AUGCUCUGGGCUCCCCUCAUCGUCCUGCUGGGAACGUGGUGCACAGGUUCCAGCUCAGAGCCUGUGCUGACUCAGCCACCCUCAGUGUCAGUGUCCCCAGGAAACACUGUGAAACUCUCCUGCACCAUGAGCAGUGGGACCAGCAUCAGUGGCUAUGCUGUGUCCUGGUACCAGAAGAAACCUGGGAAUUCUCCACGAUACCUGCUGAGAUACAAGUCAGACUCCGACAAGCACCAGGGCUCUGGGGUCCUUGCUCGUUUCUCUGGUUCCAAAGACACAUCCAGUAAUGCCGGCUAUUUAACCGUCUUCAGGGUCCUGGCAGAGGAUGAUGCUGAUUAUUAUUGUGUUGUGUGGAGGGGUGGCAGUGCUCCACACGAGGAGCCUUGGAAAAUCCUGCAGCAGACAGCUCUCACAUAG